rnacentral:rRNA from 1 species
AUACGUAGGGGGCGAGCGUUGUCCGGAAUGAUUGGGCGCAAAGGGCGCGUAGGCGGCCUGUUAAGUCUGGAGUGAAAGUCCUGUUUUCAAGAUGGGAAUUGCUUUGGAUACUGAUGGGCUUGAGUGCAGGAGAGGUUAUCGGAAUUCCCGGUGUAGCGGUGAAAUGCGUAGAGAUCGGGAGGAACACCAGUGGCGAAGGCGGGUAACUGGACUGCAACUGACGCUGAGGCGCGAAAGUGUGGGGAGCAAACAGGAUUAGAUACCCUGGUAGUCCACACUGUAAACGCUGAAUGCUAGGUGUAAGAGGUAUCGACCCCUUUUGUGCCGGAGUUAACACAAUAAGCAUUCCGCCUGGGGAGUACGGCCGCAAGGUUGAAACUCAAAUGAAUUGACGGGG